ACCGAAAUAGCUCAGUUGAGAGAGGAUUAGACUAUAGAUCGAAGAGUCCCUGGUUCGAUCUCGGGUUCCGGCA
rnacentral:tRNA from 1 species